AAGACUAUAGACCUGCGGAGUACCUGCGGAAGGAUCAUUACAUGGCGGAGGAGGUGGGCACCUAGUAAAACAAAACCCUAGGUGUGUUGCCUACCACGCUUUCUACCCUUGUCUAUUUGCACCUUUUGUCGUUCCCUCGGUGGGUCUUGAACCUGCCGGCGGCAACUUUCAAAAACCUUUUGUAGUUAGUAUCUAAUUCUUCUGAUCAAAUAUUCAAUCGUUACAACUUUUAACAAUGGA
rnacentral:misc_RNA from 1 species